AACGAACGCUGGCGGCAUGCCUAACACAUGCAAGUCGAACGAGACCUUCGGGUCUAGUGUCGCACGGGUGCGUAACGCGUGGGAACCUGCCCUUAGGUUCGGACUAACUCCCCGACAGGGGUGCUAAUACCGGAUAAUGUCUUCGGACCAAAGAUUUAUCGCCUUUGGAUGGGCCCGCGUUGGAUUAGCUUGUUGGUAGGGUAAAAGCCCACCACGGGGACGAUCCAUAGCUGGUCUGAGAGGCUGAGCAGCCACACUGGGACUGAGACACGGCCCAGACUCCUACGGGAGGGAGCAGUGGGGAAUAUAGGACAGUGGGCGAAAGGCUGAUGCAGCAAUGCCGGGAGAGUGAUGAAGGCCUGAGGGUUGUAAAGCGCUUUUAACCGGGAUGAUAAUGACAGUACCGGGAGAAUAAGCACCGGCUAACUCCGUG
rnacentral:rRNA from 1 species